rnacentral:rRNA from 1 species
AACGAUGAAGCCCAGCUUGCUGGGUGGAUUAGUGGCGAACGGGUGAGUAACACGUGGGUGAUCUGCCCUGCACUUCGGGAUAAGCCUGGGAAACUGGGUCUAAUACCGGAUAGGACCUCGGGAUGCAUGUUCCGGGGUGGAAAGGUUUUCCGGUGCAGGAUGGGCCCGCGGCCUAUCAGCUUGUUGGUGGGGUAACGGCCCACCAAGGCGACGACGGGUAGCCGGCCUGAGAGGGCGACCGGCCACACUGGGACUGAGACACGGCCCAGACUCCUACGGGAGGCAGCAGUGGGGAAUAUUGCACAAUGGGCGCAAGCCUGAUGCAGCGACGCCGCGUGAGGGAUGACGGCCUUCGGGUUGUAAACCUCUUUCAGUACCGACGAAGCGCAAGUGACGGUAGGUACAGAAGAAGCACCGGCCAACUACGUGCCAGCAGCCGCGGUAAUACGUAGGGUGCGAGCGUUGUCCGGAAUUACUGGGCGUAAAGAGCUCGUAGGCGGUUUGUCGCGUCGUCUGUGAAAACCCGCAGCUCAACUGCGGGCUUGCAGGCGAUACGGGCAGACUUGAGUACUGCAGGGGAGACUGGAAUUCCUGGUGUAGCGGUGAAAUGCGCAGAUAUCAGGAGGAACACCGGUGGCGAAGGCGGGUCUCUGGGCAGUAACUGACGCUGANGAGCGAAAGCGUGGGUAGCGAACAGGAUUAGAUACCCUGGUAGUCCACGCCGUAAACGGUGGGCGCUAGGUGUGGGUUUCCUUCCACGGGAUCCGUGCCGUAGCUAACGCAUUAAGCGCCCCGCCUGGGGAGUACGGCC